rnacentral:lncRNA from 1 species
AGCCUAUCUCACUGAACACGGGUCGUAUCCUUAGAUUACGAUCCGUCUCUAUAUAGUUAUAAGCUAUUCAAAGACUCGUAUCAUUUGCAAAAUAAAAGAUAUAAAUAAGAAGAAAGAAAGCCAAGUCUUUUAUGAUAUAAUUAGAAAGAAGUACAAAAGAUGGAGAAAUAAAAAUACUGUCAUUACAAGUAAUCUAGUGAUUUUCUGAGACGAUGGAGAACUAGCCGGCC